GGGGGAAUAUUGCACAAUGGGGGAAACCCUGAUGCAGCGACGCCGCGUGAGUGAAGAAGUAUUUCGGUAUGUAAAGCUCUAUCAGCAGGGGAAGAAAAUGACGGGUACCUGACUAAUAAGCCCCGGCUAACUAC
rnacentral:rRNA from 1 species